rnacentral:rRNA from 1 species
GCAUAUCAAUAAGCGGAGGAAAAGAAACCAACAGGGAUUGCCUUAGUAACGGCGAGUGAAGCGGCAACAGCUCAAAUUUGAAAUCUGGUCCCCUUUGGGGGCCCGAGUUGUAAUUUGAAGAGGAUGCUUUUGGCGAGGCGCCGUCCGAGUUCCCUGGAACGGGACGCCGCAGAGGGUGAGAGCCCCGUACGGUCGGACGCCGAGCCUCUGUAAAGCUCCUUCGACGAGUCGAGUAGUUUGGGAAUGCUGCUCAAAAUGGGAGGUAAACCCCUUCUAAAGCUAAAUACUGGCCAGAGACCGAUAGCGCACAAGUAGAGUGAUCGAAAGAUGAAAAGCACUUUGAAAAGAGAGUUAAAAAGCACGUGAAAUUGUUAAAAGGGAAGCGCUUGCGACCAGACUUGCGCCCGUCGGAUCAACCGUCGCUUGCGGCGGCGCACUCCGGCGGGCUCAGGCCAGCAUCAGUUCGUCCGGGGGGAGAAAGGCGGCGGGAAUGUGGCUCUUCGGAGUGUUAUAGCCCGCCGUGUAAUACCCUCGGGUGGACUGAGGACCGCGCGUAUGCAAGGAUGCUGGCGUAAUGGUCGUCAGCGACCCGUCUUGAAACACGGACCAAGGAGUCGUCCUAAUAUGCGAGUGUACGGGUGUCAAACCCCUGCGCGUAAUGAAAGUGAACGGAGGUGAGAGCUUCGGCGCAUCAUCGACCGAUCCUGAUGUUCUCGGAUGGAUUUGAGUAAGAGCAUAUUGGGCCGGACCCGAAAGAAGGUGAACUAUGCCUGUGUAGGGUAAAGCCAGAGGAAACUCUGGUGGAGGCUCGCAGCGGUUCUGACGUGCAAAUCGAUCGUCAAACAUGGGCAUGGGGGCGAAAGACUAAUCGAACCUUCUAGUAGCUGGUUUCCGCCGAG